AUACCGUAUAACAGAGAAAACCGCCUGGUUUUCUUUUAAAAGAUGGCUCUGCUAUCACUUCUGGAUGGACCCGCGGCGCAUUAGCUAGUUGGUGAGGUAACGGCUCACCAAGGCGAUGAUGCGUAGCCGACCUGAGAGGGUAAUCGGCCACAUUGGGACUGAGACACGGCCCAGACUCCUACGGGAGGCAGCAGUAGGGAAUCUUCCACAAUGGACGCAAGUCUGAUGGAGCAACGCCGCGUGAGUGAAGAAGGGUUUCGGCUCGUAAAGCUCUGUUGUUAAAGAAGAACGUGGGUGAGAGUAACUGUUCACCCAGUGACGGUAUUUAACCAGAAAGCCACGGCUAACUACGUGCCAGCAGCCGCGGUAAUACGUAGGUGGCAAGCGUUAUCCGGAUUUAUUGGGCGUAAAGCGAGCGCAGGCGGUCUUUUAAGUCUAAUGUGAAAGCCUUCGGCUCAACCGAAGAAGUGCAUUGGAAACUGGGAGACUUGAGUGCAGAAGAGGACAGUGGAACUCCAUGUGUAGCGGUGAAAUGCGUAGAUAUAUGGAAGAACACCAGUGGCGAAGGCGGCUGUCUGGUCUGUAACUGACGCUGAGGCUCGAAAGCAUGGGUAGCGAACAGGAUUAGAUACCCUGGUAGUCCAUGCCGUAAACGAUGAUUACUAAGUGUUGGAGGGUUUCCGCCCUUCAGUGCUGCAGCUAACGCAUUAAGUAAUCCGCCUGGGGAGUACGACCGCAAGGUUGAAACUCAAAAGAAUUGACGGGGGCCCGCACAAGCGGUGGAGCAUGUGGUUUAAUUCGAAGCUACGCGAAGAACCUUACCAGGUCUUGACAUCUUCUGCCAACCUAAGAGAUUAGGCGUUCCCUUCGGGGACAGAAUGACAGGUGGUGCAUGGUGUCGUC
rnacentral:rRNA from 1 species